AACGAACGCUGGCGGCAUGCCUAACACAUGCAAGUCGAACGAGACCUUCGGGUCUAGUGGCGCACGGGUGCGUAACGCGUGGGAACCUGCCCUUAGGUUCGGAAUAACUCCCCGAAAGGGGUGCUAAUACCGGAUAAUGUCUUCGGACCAAAGAUUUAUCGCCUUUGGAUGGGCCCGCGUUGGAUUAGCUAGUUGUUAGGGUAAAAGCCUACCAAGGCGACGAUCCAUAGCUGGUCUGAGAGGAUGAGCAGCCACACUGGGACUGAGACACGGCCCAGACUCCUACGGGAGGAAGCAGUGGGGAAUAGUGGACAAUGGGCGAAAGCAUGAUCCAGCAAUGCCGCGUGAGUGAUGAAGGCCUUAGGGUUGUAAAGCUCUUUUACCCGGGAUGAUAAUGACAGUACCGGGAGAAUAAGCUCCGGCUAACUCCGUG
rnacentral:rRNA from 1 species